rnacentral:tRNA from 1 species
GAGUAUUAUAUGGGAAACGGCGACACAUGACUUUUAAUCAGUAGGUCGCUGGUUCGAACCCAGCAGGGCUCACCA